AACUGCGAUAAGUAAUGUGAAUUGCAGAAUUCAGUGAAUCAUCGAGUCUUUGAACGCACAUUGCGCCCCCUGGCAUUCCGGGGGGCAUGCCUGUCCGAGCGUCAUUGCUGCCCUUCAAGCCCGGCUUGUGUGUUGGGUCGACGUCCCCUCCGGGGGACGGGCCCGAAAGGCAGCGGCGGCACCGCGUCCGGUCCUCGAGCGUAUGGGGCUUUGUCACCCGCUCGAUAAGGACCGGCCGGGCGCCAGCCGGCGUCUCCAACCUUUUUUUCUCAGGUUGACCUCGGAUCAGGUAGGGAUACCCGCUGAACUUAAGC
rnacentral:misc_RNA from 1 species